rnacentral:misc_RNA from 1 species
GAAUUGCAUUUCCACAAUGAGGAACACUAGGGCACCAUUUAACCCUCUUGUUAUCAUCAAUAUAUGACUCUAACAGAAAACGAUCAAAUUUCUCUGCUAAAGCAGGAUCUCUUGCAGUGACGAGAUCCCUAAUCUUUCCUUCAUCACAGAUCACAUUGCACUUUUGGGCCAUGCAAGUUACUUGUUUACUCUGACCCUCAUUUAUUUUUACAAUGAAAUGAGUUGUCCAACAUUCAUUGCAAAAUAUAUGGUUGCAGUCCAUUACAGUGGUCUUCUCAACAGGGGCAUCUUCGAAGCAAAUUUGACACGUCACUUCAGAUGUCGACAGAGUGGAAGUAUGUUCCUCUUUCCCUUCCAGUGUCACACCCGCUUCAGCAUAUAACAUUUCUGUCCCUCUCUCAACAAGAACCGCAAAGACCUUGUCAACUUCCCAUCGGUAAUGAAUAAGCAAGCUUCGAGCAUGAUGUUCCUUCAGAGAUAGCAAGUCCAUCACUCUUUGCAAG